GGUGGCUUAGUGGUAGAGCGCUUGCCUAGCAUGCAUGAAACCCUGGGUUCGAUUCCUCAGUACCA
rnacentral:tRNA from 1 species